rnacentral:rRNA from 1 species
AGAGUUUGAUCAUGGCUCAGAACGAACGCUGGCGGCGCGCCUAACACAUGCAAGUCGAGCGCCCGGUUUCGGCCGGGAGCGGCGCACGGGUGAGUAACGCGUGGGAACCUACCCCUGGGUUCGGGACAACGGCGGGAAACCGCCGCUGACACCGGAUACGGCCGCCCGGCAACGGGUGGCGAAAGGUCACGCCCAGGGACGGGCCCGCGUCCGAGUAGCUAGUUGGUGGGGUAACGGCCCACCAAGGCCGCGAUCGGUAGCCGGCCUGAGAGGGCGGUCGGUCACACUGACACUGAAUAACGGGUCAGACUCCUACGGGAGGCAGCAGUCGGGAAUUUUGGGCAAUGGGCGAAAGCCUGACCCAGCAACGCCGCGUGAAAGAUGAAGUCCUUCGGGAUGUAAAUUUCGGAAGAAUGGGAAGAAUAAAUGACGGUACCAUUUUUAAGCCCCGGCUAACUCUGUGCCAGCAGCCGCGGUAAUAC